rnacentral:misc_RNA from 1 species
UCGCAGCUUGCGCCGGCAGUCUCUCCAGAGUGCCCAGCUUAACCUGAUGGCAACUGAAGAUGGGGGUUGCGCUCGUUAUGGCACUUAAGCCGACACCUCACGGCACGAGCUGACGACAACCAUGCAGCACCUCGACGCAGGUCCUGAAAGGACUGUAUGCUUUCACAUACAUCCCUGCGUCGUUUGAGCCCGGGUAAGGUUCCUCGCGUAUCAUCGAAUUAAACCACAUGUUCCUCCGCUUGUGCGGGCCCCCGUCAAUUCCUUUGAGUUUCACCGUUGCCGGCGUACUCCCCAGGUGGAAUGCUUAACGCUUUCGCUGUGCCACCCAGCCGUCAUUCCGGCCGGACAGAUAGCAUUCAUCGUUUACUGCGUGGACUAC